UGGGAGGAGGAUAAGCUGGGGAAGAGGCUGGCCACACUGGUUGCUAUAACCACCACCACUUCCGGUCCGUUCCUCUUUACGGCCCACCUCAGCGCUGCCCGCGCGAAAUUUGUAUCCCUCUGCUUGUGUCCACUGGCUCCUGGGGAGCAGCGCAGGGAGGAGGAGGAGGAAGAUAUCAAAGAGCCCUCCCAUUGGGGGCCCCAGAUCGCCACUUCCGGUGACCAGAGAUUACGUGUGAAAAUGAACUUGUGCAAACCCAACCCCAUGCUGAUAAUCCAUCUAAUACUGUCACUUCAGUACCUACUCACUGUGAAGAAGGCCCAGUGCAUAAAAGUACACAAAUUUCUUUGAAAAGGCCCCGUCACCGUAGUGUGGGUAUUCAAGCCAAAGUGAAAGCGUUUGGAAAAAGACUGUGUAAUGCAACUACUCAGACAGAGGAAUUGUGGUCUAGAACUUCCUCUCUCUUUGACAUUUACUCCAGUGAUUCAGAAACAGAUACAGACUGGGAUAUCAAGAGUGAACAGAGUGAUUUGUCUUAUAUGGCUGUACAGGUGAAAGAAGAAACAUGUUAAAAACUCAACAUCAAAUGCUCUGAUGUGCUAUAGAUUUUCAAAUCUUUACUCACAUAAUUAUCUCUUUGCUAUUGUAAAUCUUUCACUUCAAGAUAAUUUGACAGUUGAGUAUCAGCAUAAUUUGUUUAGCUCUAAGGCAAAAGUUUGCUUGCUUGCCAACACAAUGAAGAUAAUACCUACCCACAAACAUCCCUAUUCUCUACUUUCACCUUUUUUUUUCUUUUAAUCCUUUUGGUAGAAAUCAGGUUACAAAGCAAAACCACAAUAUCAGCAACACUUCCUAAUCAAAAUUAAGCAUUGAAUAUUUGUUUAAGCUUAGUUCAGAAGCAACGCUCCUACAGGACUUGACAUUUGCUAGUUAGAAUAUCCCUACUCUUCUAAAUAAUUUGAAAGUAUAGAGCAGUAACACAGUAACAGUGAGCACAGCCAAGCCUGACACUACUAAAUGAUUUGGUAGUGAAGCCAGGACAUCUACCCUUGACUAUUUUUUAUGUUAUUUAUUUAUUAGUUUGUCCAUUUGUAACAUGUAUAGAUCUGUCCUGUGAGCAUUUCUGAUGAAUCUAUGGUUCUUACAGAAAUUUUUCAAAGGAAUCAAUUUAGAGAUAGAGUUUUCAUAUACUUACAUUAACUUAUUAAUGAAAUCUGUUUGCAUCAGUGCUUACUGCGACACAUUAAUUAGCUUGAUUAAUUUAGAUUAGAAUCAUUAACAUCAUGAAAAAUAAAAGUACUACAUUUCUAACGUAUUCCCAUUGCAGGUGUUAGGUAUUUUUUCUGUCAACACCUCUCUUUUGAAUUCUACAUUUGAGAAAUAAGCAUGGAAAUAUUAGCUGCCCCGUCUGCCAUUCACCAGGAAAAAUUUCUAUGGCAAUUUUGUACCAUGAAGUAAACUGUUACAAUAGUUUCUGAGAAGCAUACUAUAACUCUGAUCUUCCAUUGAGAAUAACAAAAAUAAAUAUCAAUUUUACACCUCAUAUGUCUUCUUAGUUCUGAAUGAUUAGAAGAACUUGCAUGUAUUUUUAUCCUAGAAGGUUUAAAUAAUACAUCAAAGUUAUUUUCUUCCAAAUGUAAUUUUAUGUCUGCUUUAAGGAAAAU
rnacentral:lncRNA from 10 species